rnacentral:lncRNA from 1 species
AUGCCCGUCCCCGCUCCCUACAAGAUGGCCGCCACCGCUGAGGAGACCGCCGGGGGGGGGUUGGGAGCGGGGCGGGGCGAACACCCCUCAGGGCGAUCGCGGGGCUACCGGGGAAGAGGGAGAGGUGGGGAGCGGGGUGGCAGCACCAUGGGGGAGCAGAUGUGGGACAGCGACAGCGACGAGACCGUGGUGGAGGGCUCGGUGGCGGAGAGCGAUGUGGAGGAAGAGGAGUUCCACAGGAGGAGAUGGAGUUUCCUCUCCAGAAAUCCACUUUAUCCAUAUAGCUCACGGUCGUAUGUAUGGACUAAAGGUAAAACAGGUAAAUCCAAAUGUACAGAAAUGAUACAUCUCCUUCUAUGCAUAUCUAGCUAUUAAUAAUUAAUAAAAUCACCGAGCCUGCCA